AGUCCCUCGGCCUGGCCCGCUAUGCCCUGCACACUGGCGGAGUCUGGCGUGGCGCAGCCCGGCGUGGGGUUCGGCCCCGCCAGGUGGUCAGCCCUUCCUCGGAGUCCAGGUGGCUGGGGGCGCUUCGGAGAGUGGCCAGGUGGGCGAGCGAGCUGCGCCCAGUACUCACCUUCCCCGGCGGACCCACCUUCCUUUUCAGCGGAGAGACCCCAGUGCGGCCUCCCUGCCAGGGCUGCUGUCUAGCUAGCGCUGUUGGGACUACUUCAUUCACGGCACAAGGGGACCCGCUCAUUUAGUGUGGCAUGUUAAGUUGCCAAAACAAAGGGGAUUUGGUGAUGGAGGCUUUGUUAGAAGGAAUACAAAAUCGAGGGCAUGGUGGGGGAUUUUUGACAUCUUGUGAAGCAGAACUACAGGAGCUCAUGAAACAGAUUGACAUAAUGGUGGCUCAUAAAAAAUCUGAAUGGGAAGGACGUACACAUGCUCUAGAAACUUGCUUGAAAAUCCGUGAACAGGAACUUAAGAGUCUUAGGAGUCAGUUGGAUGUGACACAUAAGGAGGUUGGAAUGUUGCAUCAGCAGGUAGAAGAACAUGAAAAAAUCAAGCAAGAGAUGACCAUGGAAUAUAAGCAGGAGUUGAAGAAACUACAUGAAGAAUUAUGCAUACUGAAGAGAAGCUAUGAAAAGCUUCAGAAAAAGCAAAUGAGGGAAUUCAGAGGAAAUACCAAAAAUCACAGGGAAGAUCGGUCUGAAAUUGAGAGGUUAACUGCAAAAAUAGAGGAAUUCCGUCAGAAAUCGCUGGACUGGGAGAAGCAACGCUUGAUUUAUCAGCAACAGGUAUCUUCACUGGAGGCACAAAGGAAGGCUCUGGCUGAACAAUCAGAGAUAAUUCAGGCUCAGCUUGUCAAUCGGAAACAGAAAUUAGAGUCUGUGGAACUUUCUAGCCAAUCAGAAAUUCAACACUUAAGCAGUAAACUGGAGCGGGCUAAUGACACUAUCUGUGCCAAUGAGUUGGAAAUAGAGCGCCUCACCAUGAGGGUCAAUGACUUGGUUGGAACCAGUAUGACUGUCCUACAGGAGCAGCAGCAAAAAGAAGAAAAAUUGAGGGAAUCUGAAAAACUAUUAGAGGCUCUGCAGGAAGAAAAGAGAGAAUUGAAGGCAGCUCUUCAGUCUCAAGAAAAUCUCAUACAUGAGGCCAGAAUACAAAAGGAGAAGUUACAAGAAAAAGUAAAGGCAACUAACACUCAACAUGCUGUAGAAGCUAUAAGUUUGGAAUCUGUGAGUGCAACGUGUAAACAGCUGAGCCAAGAACUAAUGGAAAAAUAUGAAGAACUGAAGAGGAUGGAAGCACAUAACAAUGAAUACAAAGCAGAGAUUAAGAAGUUGAAAGAACAGAUUUUACAGGGUGAACAAAGUUACAGUUCUGCACUAGAAGGAAUGAAGAUGGAAAUCUCCCAUCUAACUCAGGAGUUACAUCAGCGAGAUAUCACUAUUGCUUCCACCAAAGGUUCUUCCUCAGACAUGGAAAAGCGACUCAGAGCAGAGAUGCAAAAGGCAGAAGACAAAGCAGUAGAGCAUAAGGAGAUUUUGGAUCAGCUGGAGUCACUCAAAUUAGAAAAUCGUCAUCUUUCUGAAAUGGUGAUGAAAUUGGAAUUGGGUUUACAUGAGGUAUUGCCUCCAGCACACUGUUUACAUUCCUACUGUGUCUCAGCAUCUGUUCUCCUGGGAAUAGAACUGGUCCACCUGAACAUAUGAUCUGUGCUGCUGUUGGUGCAGGAGGACAGGAGGGAAAUAAGCUGGAAGCCAUGGAUGUGGAGAGUCUGGCUUCAAGAUGGAGCUUGUUUACCUGCAGGGCCCCAUGCAGAACCUCAUGAGACGUGACUUCAGAGGCCUCCUCUCUGAAGGUGAGGGAGGCGUCAGCUGUUCAGAGAGAGAGGCUGCCUUGCCUGGGGACACACAGCUAGCCAGUGGCCGGAGCAGCAGUGGAUGCAGUUGUCCUGAUGCAUAGUUCAAGAAGCUUUUUUUUUUUUUUUUUUUUUCACGUGUGAAAACAUCUAUUGGGAAAAUGGAAAAAUCAUUUGACCUCAUAUUCCUCAUAGCUGACAUGACCUACAGGGAACGAAGAAGAAGGUUAAACGAGGACAAGAAGCUCUGAAGGCACCAUCCUCCACAUUGACAGAACCAUCUGGAGCAUGAAUUUGGGGAGAGCUUGGUUCUGAGACAGCGCUGCUCAGUCCCAUGCAGACACCAGCCCUGCUCCCUGCUCCGAUCAGAGUCAUAAGCCACGAUUCAUGCUGUUAAGAGCAAUUUUCAUUCUUAACCUUUCUGGUAUGUCUCUUCCUGAUCAGUUUGUCAGCCACUCCCUUUCUCAAAGUAUUUCUGUUCAUGACACCUUAAUUGAUUUUCCAUAUUUUUCUGUCCAGAGCUCAUUAAAAUCUCAUCUUCUUGCAUAUAAUAAUGUGCAAGUGUGGGAAGCACUGCUUUCCAAAUUUCGGGUACUUUGAAUUUUGGAGUCUUUACACUCCAUGGCAUUCUUGGCCCUUUGCUGGGGAGGGAGAUGAUGAAGAUCAAUCUGUCUUUCACCACCACUUCCAAAAUAUCCUGGGCAAUGCCAAGAGAGGUAUCCAGUGGCACAUGAGAGCGCAUGGAGAGAUUACCUCUUUAACCUAGCCAAGUGUUGAUUACCCAGCUAUUGAAAUGCCCCUUGCAUAUUCCUCGAUCCGCCCCUCUCUCUGACGUAAACAAGGUGUCCUCUGCAGGUGAGGCUUCAGUGUCUGCUCCAUACCAGUCACCUCCUUCUGUGCAGAAUUCUGCAUUUCCAUUUCCAUGAACUCACAUAGUCUUCACAAUAGCCCAAAGGUGGGCUGAUGCCUUUAAACCCAUUUUACUGACAGAGAAAGAAAGGAUUGAGAAAUCGGUGCACACAGUUCCCCAGUAGCUUCUGGAUGGGCCCAGUCCUCCCCUCAAGCCUAAUGUGCUUGCCAUUCUGCACGUUUCAGUGAAAAGGCAUUUUUCCAGGAGCAGGCUGAAAUGUGGGCCAGCCACUCGCAGGGCUUAGGCAGUGAGUGCUCCUAGUGGUGGGAGCCCCGAGAGAGGACCUCUCCUGGUGGUUCAAGAUUGUCUGAUCAGGUGGUGAGGAGGAACACAGAAAAGGGCUUUGGAGGAUCUGAACAAAACCACGAAUGAGCUAAGAGCAGCCUUUUGAUUAUUACUGUCGACCCCCAGGGGCCUGGCGGGAGGAUGUUGGUGUUCAUCGUCCCAAGCAGGAGUUGCCCAGUGGCCUGGAUCCCAGGGGGCAUGCGGGAGAUUUUUCAGUGUCAGUGCAGACUCCAGCCUUGCCUGUCCCCGGGGCAGAGCUUCUAAUAGGAGCCACGGGUAUUUUUAGUCUCACGUGUGCAGGCACAGGACAAGGCGAGCUGGACAGGAACAGCUAAUAAGCCGCGGUCCUUAUUAAGUUGGAAAGGAUGAAAUGAGGGGAUGAGGGGGAGCCUGGUGGAACUUUUCACACGUCUCAUUUUCAGAGAACUCUCUUUCCAUAAUUCACAGAGAAAUAUUGAGGUCAGGGUGAUUAUGCACAGGCCCAGUGGCAGAAGCCUGAAAGUGGGGCAUGUUCAAUUCCUGUGGCCUGCCGGUCCCCUCCCCACAGGGCUCUGCUCUGCCCUCCGGGCAAGGAGGUUGCGAUGGAGGGAUGAGCGGCUUUGGGGCUUGGCUGUCAAGGCUCCUGGGGUGGUGUGGGGGCUUUGAAAAGGACUAAAUUAGAAACUGGUUCCUAAUAUGAUAUGCAAAGCCACAGGGGAUAGUUGAGUGGUAUCAACUAUUAUCCUGAGUUCAUAGAUGAGGAAAUAGAGGCUCAGGGAGGUGUGGGACUUGGUAAGGUCACGUAGUUCAGAAGUGGCAGAGCUAGGAUUCACACUCAGUGUCCUAGACCAAGGUCUAUCAUUAUUUGCCCCCAAGGAUAGGCAGUUGUGUGUAAGACCCAUUGUUCAUUUUACUUAACUCACAAACAUCUUUUUUUUCUAUGCCAACUCUGUAUCAGGAACUUUAUCACUGGAAUGGGGCAGUGAGGAUGAUACAAUUCCUGCUCUCAAGGAGCUCUCGAUUUAGUGAGGGCAACAUAGCAUCAACUCCCAGCUGGACUUUGGUGCAGUGAGUGUGCAAGCUUGUCCUGUGGGCAAAGCAGACUGGGAAGUGAAAUUGGCAGAUUUCCAAUCUUUGGUGUUGAGUGUGAGGACAGUCAGGUCUCCACUAGUACAGUCCAUUUUCCUUCUGUAUGGCCUCUUCUGAGGUUGAGACUGGAGAGUGGGCUAGGAAGGGGCAAGUAAGUCCUCAGCCCCUUUCUGGGCCCUGCGGCUCUAAGCAUUGUGAUGCUUGGAGUCUGUGGCAGGAGUCCCUUAGUGAGGAUAUGGGCAAGGCUGGAAUGCAGGUAGCACACGGGACUGGCUGUUGUCAGCUACCCACUUCCUCACCACCCCCAUCUUUAUGGUUUGAGAGCAAUGGGAGAGAGAAUGAAAAUUGUGAUUUGGGAGUGAAAACAUUUUAGUGAGUUUCUUGCAGCCUUCCUGCCCAGCCCAAAGCCAGCCAUGGCAUAUGUGCUUCUGUCCAUCUAUUUAUCCCUCCACUCCACCGCAUACUUGAGCACCAUGCUCUUUCAUAUCCAUCCAUCCACUCCAUCUAUCCGAUCCAUCCCACUUAGCUAUUCCUUCCAUUGAAACCUAGACACCACUGUGCAAACCAUCAGCCAACCCCACCUUUCUGUUCCUUCCGCCUAAUAUGCUUUGUCCAUUCACCCAUUCUUUAUUCAUUCAGUUACCCCCCUCCCCCAUUCCCAUCCAAUUACGAUUCCUUCAUUCCAUCUGUAAUCAACACUAUGUUCUAGGACUGUGUCUGAUGUUGUGGGGACACACAGAUGAACGAAUCUCUCUCAUGUAGUUGACCUAGAAGAUAGUGUGUAGAUCCACUUAUGAAGAUAACAAUGGAAUUGAAGAGGGUCCCAAGAGAAGAAACACAAAGAAUCUGGAUGAAGGGGAAGAGACAGAGCUGAAUGACGAGCAAUUGAAAUGCUUGGCACUCUCCUUUCUGGGAAGAUAUUAUGAAAAGAGAGAGAAAGAGGAUAAAGGGGAAAAAGGGAAGGAAGACAGGAAGGCUGGAAGGCUGGAAGGCAGGAGGCAGGAAGGAAGAGGGGAAGGAAGGAAGGAGUAGGGAAAGAAGGUGCUAUGGGAUGAAUAUUUGUGCCCCCCCCCUCAAAUUCAUAUGUUGAGAUCCUAACUUCUAAGGUGAUAAUAUCAAGAGGUGGAGGCUUUGGGAAGUGAUUAAGUCAUAAGGCUGGAUCCCUCACAGAUAGAAUUAGUGCCCUUGUAAAAGCAGUUCGAAAAACCUUCUUUGAUCCUUCCGCCAUGUGAGAACAUAGCAAGAAGGUGCCGGCUGGGCAUGGUGGCUCAUGCCUGUAAUCCCAGCACUGCGGAGGCCGAGGUGGGUAGAUCACCUGAGGUCAGGAGUUCGAGACCAGCUGGGCCAACAGGGUGAAACCCUGUCUCUACUACAAAUACAAAAAUUAGCUGGGUGUGGUGAUGCAUGCUGGUAAUCCCAGCUACCCAGGAGGCUGAGGUAGGAGAAUUGCUUGAACUCAGGAGGCAGAGCUUGCAGUGAGCCAAGAUCACGCCAUUGCUCUCUAGCCUGGGAGACAGAGUGAGACUUCAUCUCAAAAAAGAAAAAAAAAAAAAGAAGGUGCUGUCUUUGAACCAGGAAGUGUGCUCUCAACAAACACAGAAUUUGCUGCCACCUUCAUCUUGGAUUUCCCAUUGUCUAGAGCUGUAAGAAAUAAAUUUCUGUUGUCUAUAAGCCACCCAGUUAAUGGUAUUUUGUAAUAGCAGCCCAAAUGAACUAAGACAGUGGUAAAGAAGGAAGAAAAAAUAUGUAUUGGAUGCCCACUCUAUGCUGGGCCCUAUGCUAGAUGCCUUCACAAUCUUAAUCAUCCCAACAACCUUUUGAGGUGGUUAGUUGCCUGCAUUUUAGAGAUGAGGAACUGGGCUCCGAGAAGGCAGCUAUUCAGCAUGAAUAAAACACAAAGAACAGGGCUAGUUCAAAUAUGUUUGCUAAUACAGAGCAUCAGAGUGGAGUUUGAAGCAAACAUGUCUAGGACAAUUGAAAAGCAUGCCACUUGACAGAUAGCGUCUGGGCUGUGCUGCCUGAAGGUGUACGUGGAUAGCAACCACAAAGUCUAUCACUCAGUGAGAAGGAGGUGGUGGGCAUGCACAGCUAUUGGAGUCUGAUGCCAGGUUGUGCCUGUUUGACAGGGAACUAAACCAUCCCUUGGCAGCUGUAUCAGAUCCAGGGUCCUACUGGAGGAUUCCUGACCCUGGGCUCUCUGGCCAGAAUUUGCCAGGUACCCUCAGUCCAGAUCUGUGGGCAUUCACACAGCCAGUUUAAUGUCCAGCUUCGCUUUUCUGAUCCAGGAUCUCCUCUUGGGGAUGGGGAUGGAGGUAGAGCAGAACCCCAGAGAGGAGAGGUCAGCUUUGCCUCUCACUGCUAAUGCUUCAGCCAGGGCUCCAUGUGCCCCAGAUACAGGCCCCUCUGGCACCCAGGAUGUGCACAGUUUUCUGCGGGUACAUCAUUCCUGGCACUUUCUAGGUCCACCCCGUGCUCAUUGCUUGGUACCACCAAACUGUCCCCUGACUGUUCUGAUGAGUCUCUGAGGACUAUUGAUUGACAGUCGCUGUCCCAUGGCUGAAGUAUUCACAAAUGUUUAGGUAGGUGGCUCAAGUAACCAAGAGCUCUAGUAACAUCCCAGGGUGAAGGGCUUGGUUGGGGUGAGGCAGAUCAGCAGAUCACUAGACAGAUGCCUUCUCACUGCUGCAGAGCCUGUGGAGUAAGGAUAAGGCAGAGGCUGGGGGAGAGUGUCAGUGUUAAUUAGAUAUUCUAGAAUCAUAGAGCUCUCAUUCACGUGAGCCCUGCUGCUGCCCACAAACCCCGGGGGCCUUCUAUUCUCUGAAGUCAGUCUGUCCGUCUGCUCAGAAACCUACUUGGCUUUGUCUUUGCCAAUUCCAGAGAGCAGCAUUUGGGGGAAAGGGAGUGCAGGUUCUCAAGUCCUGGUGCUGGGUCCAGUGGAUCAUUCCCUGGCAUGCGGGGCCCCAGAGGGGCCAGGAAGGAGGGAUAUGGGGAUGGGGAGAGUGGCUGCACCAGGCCUGAGUUACCUCAGCUGUCCUUCCUCUCCAGCUUUCCUCUUGGCAUGGCGGGGCUGCCCACUGGCCAGCUCAGCUGUCCUCCUUGCUCACCAUGUAAUCCCUGCCAGGAAGAGAGGAGGGAAAUCUGAGCCAGGCCUUCUCCCACUGCAUCCUGCCAUCCUGUCCUCCCUACAGCCAGAAGGGAGGGUAGGAUGGGGUGGGGACAGGGAAGAGCAGGGCUUGGGGAGAGCUUCUAGGCCUAGCUGCUGCUGGGCUGCUGCAGGGGUGGGCGGACUGUGGGGUGUGUGGGAACCACAAGACUCGGGCCUUCCCUCUGGAGCCUGCACCUAGGGGCUGCUCUGGCCUCCUCCGGCAUCUGGACACCUGUUAGGCUGAUUCAAUUUACCGCCUGCUCUUUGCUUCCCUGUGUCUUGGAGAGCCCCUACUGGGUAUUUUUAUUUUCAUCCUAAAAAGGCCGUCUAGGAACCAGGGAGUUGAAGUCCCAGCAUUCCCAAGUGAGUCACAGCUUCAGCCUCCUUAUCUGUAACCCAGCAGCAAUCACACCCUCUGUCCAAGGUGGAAGGCAAAAUGAGGCAAUGCAGAGUGUGCCCUCAGCACACAGCCAGGCACACAGUAGUGACUGCUCACAAGCAGCACCAGCCCAAACCUGAACCUAGGACACAAGCGCAGACAUGCAGCCCUGUGGCUGACCUCACACUCGGGGCUUCUCUGGCAUUUGGGAUGGGAAGAGCAAGGACAGAGACAGCCCUCUGUGCAUGUACCUCACUCUGGGAUCUCAGAUACAUCAGGGUGGUGAUGUGCGCACAGGUGUUUGUGUGGGGUGGCUCUCUAUGGCAAGGAUGGGGCCAUUUGUUUGCGUUUUCCUAGAACAGCCUACCUCCUGGCACAUGACAGGUGUUUCUUUAAGCAGUUUUGUGUGUGUGUGUGUGUGUGUUUGUGUGUGUAAACAAGCCAUUCGAACUUUAGCUACCCUACUAGUACCAUGGAAUGUUGGAAGAGUCUUUUCAUUUUUUUGGGCCCUGGUUUUCUCAUCUGAGUAAUGGGUAUAUUGAUUCCUGCCUGAAGCUGCUGCUCUGAAUUCAGCACUGGCUUGCUGCAUGGCCUGCAGUAAAUAAAGGGUUCCUUGACAUCUGUUUCCCCUAUCCCCCAGUGAAGAUAUUUUUCUCAGGUUGCUUUGGAGUCUGACCCAGGAAGAAGAGAAGGAAAUGGUGGGAGCAACAGGGGCAGGGGAGGGAGCUCUGGCUUCUCAGCAGACACUCGCAUGCUCUGUAGACUGAGGUGGGCAGAGCCACCCUCAGGUCAGGUGCACAAGGCCACUUCUGGUCCCACCCUGUAGGUCUGGGAGAAGUCCGGCAGGGGCUUCAGGGCACUCCAGACUGGCUUCUUCUCCCCAUCUCCUGAUAUGAAGGGGAUUGGGCUGGGGGAAUGGGUCCAGGGCAUCUACACUGCUGUGACCACUUCCUCUCAGUGAGAAAGGUCAGGGCUGGCCUGGUGUCCAUGGGGGACUCCUACCUCCUGGUGCUGCCCCUGGAUCUGGGGAAAGGCUACUGCAUGCAAGGCUCCUCCCACCCCAUCCAGUUCCCUGAGGCCAGGCUUCUGGCCCCUGGAGUGGCUGUUGCACAAGCAAGGUGGGAGCCUGGCCUGUUUCAAGGUUACCCAAGGCAGGCGGGCCCAGGGCUGGGCUUGGACCUGGAUCACAGUGGUGACAGCAACCUGUUUGUGACAGUACAGUUUGCACUCCCCAGGUGGUCGCUGAAAAGCCACCACUGAGGGAGGGGCCUCCGUGAUGAAAAGGGGCCUCUGGCCAAGGCCUGACAGCCAUCUGUUCCCGGCCGCCAGCCCGGAGUCCUCCAGGAAGGGUGAAGACAGGGGAAGAGAGAGAGGGGAAACAGAGGACACACACACACACACACACACACACACACACACACACACACACACACACAGAGAGAGAGAGAGAGAGAGAGACAGGGACAGAGCGAGACAGACAGAGACAUUGAGAGACAGACAAACAGACACAGAGACAUAGGGACAGACAGAGGAAGAAAGAACAGCAGAAAGGCAGAGAGACAAAUAUGGAGGAAAGAUAGCCAGAGGAAGGGAACAAAGACACUAAGAAUGAGGAUGAGAGAAGUCGAGGGGCAGAAAGAGACAGAGACCGAGACAUAGGGAAAGAAACAGAAGGACAGGAAAGUCAGAGAGAGACAAAGAAAGACAGAGAGAACAACAGAAACAGAAUGAAGGGAACCAAAGGGAUCAAGAGACAGAGAGAGUGAGACAGGGAGAGAUGAGAGAGAGACAGAGAGACAAGGAAAUUCCCUGAGACAGAUUGAGAGGGUGCUUGUGCGCUGGCUGGCAUCAAAGUGAGGGUAGAGAGACAAAGUCCUGGGCAAGCUCUCUGAUGGAAGGAGGACCCUCAUGAGCCAAAUCCCUUCCAGCCUCAGCAC